AUACGGAGGGUACAAGCGUUAUUCGGAAUCACUGGGCGUAAAGGACGCGUAGGCGGGUUGGCAAGUCAGAUGUGAAAUCCUACAGCUUAACUGUAGAACUGCAUUUGAAACUGCUAACCUAGAGUAUGGGAGGGGGAGAUGGAAUUAGUGGUGGAGGGGUAAAAUCCGUAGAUAUCACUAGGAAUACCGAAAGCGAAGGCGAUCUCCUGGAACAUAACUGACGCUAAGGCGUGAAAGCGUGGGGAGCAAACAGGAUUAGAAACCCUUGUAGUCC
rnacentral:rRNA from 1 species